rnacentral:rRNA from 1 species
GAUGAACGCUGGCGGCGUGCCUAAUACAUGCAAGUAGAACGCUGAAGGAAGGAGCUUGCUCUUUCCGGAUGAGUUGCGAACGGGUGAGUAACGCGUAGGUAACCUGCCUGGUAGCGGGGGAUAACUAUUGGAAACGAUAGCUAAUACUGCAUAACAGUAGAUGUUGCAUGACAUCUACUUGAAAGGGGCAAUUGCUCCACUACCAGAUGGACCUGCGUUGUAUUAGCUAGUUGGUGAGGUAACGGCUCACCAAGGCGACGAUACAUAGCCGACCUGAGAGGGUGAUGGCCACACUGGGACUGAGACACGGCCCAGACUCCUACGGGAGGCAGCAGUAGGGAAUCUUCGGCAAUGGACGGAAGUCUGACCGAGCAACGCCGCGUGAGUGAAGAAGGUUUUCGGAUCGUAAAGCUCUGUUGUAAGAGAAGAACGAGUGUGAGAGUGGAAAGUUCACAC